AGCACUCCUGACGCAGAUUCAGUACUCAAUUGUUGUUCCACCACGGCGUACGUGAACGCGGAUGAAAACCGAUUUCCAAUCCAAUCCAAAGCAAUUCAAAAUCCCAUUUCUAUCGCAGCGUUUUGUGGCCCCCCACGGUAAAGUCAACGGUUUCAAAGUCCUUCGUCAAAACGCAUACGCCCAGUGUACUCGAAGUCGAAAGUGUCAUAAAGUAUGCGAUUAUCCUGUAAACAAAGUGUAAAACGCGCCCAAUAAACGCCGAAAAAGAAAGGCAAACAACAAACAACUCCCGGAUUUUACGACUUGAGCAAUCAAUUCCGCUGGUCACCCGGGGAUUUGAGGACUCCCUCCAGGACUUGGAUUUCCCCCCGGAACAGAACUAUAGAAUCGGAUCUGGGCACGUCGUAUAAUGAUUGCGCAAGUGAGAUGACGCCACUGCCGGUGAGAAGGAUACGUUAGGGCGGCGUCGAACUAUGGGAACAGAGGCAUGGGCGUGUGCGCGGACCUUGGGUCUCAUCGAUGGUGUCGGGCAUUGAGCACCACCCAGCACAACAGCACCCAGCAAUCGGAGGAGCAGGAUCAGCAGCUGGAUCAGCAGUCCCUGGAGAUCCCCUCCAGGAGUCCAACGACGAUUCCCGCUACUAAAACGCUGACGGCAUCGCCGGCGAAAACGGCAGCUUUCACAGUGAAAACGACCAGGAGAAGACGAAGCCGGCGAAGGGCAGAAGGCAGCUCCAUCUGGAUUCCCCUCUGGAAAGGUCAGGGGUCAACGCCUACGAUACAGGUGCUCCAGCUCGUACUGGUCUCGUUGCUGGCCCUUCUAGCGAAAAAUGCCCAGGCGCACAACAUUCCAGAAGACGCCGUGCACAUCACGGCCAUCCUCGGCGAGGGCGUCAUCUUCAACUGCCAUGUGGAGUUCCCCAACGACCACCCCGUGCCAUAUGUCCUGCAGUGGGACAAGAAGGUGAGCGAAACGGGCUCCGAUCUGCCCAUCUACAUCUGGUAUGAGAGCUAUCCGGAGCACAUCGAGGAGGGCUACAAGGGACGCGUGUCCCGCGUGUCGCAGGACUCGCCCUUCGGCUCCGCCUCGCUCAACCUGACCAACAUCCGUGAGUCGGACCAGGGAUGGUACGAGUGCAAGGUCGUCUUCCUCAACCGGGACCCCAAGCAGCAUAAGAACGGUACAUGGUUCCACUUAGACGUACAUGCACCGCCGCGCUUUAGUGUUACGCCAGAGGAUAUUAUAUACGUUAAUUUAGGUGAUUCAAUUAUACUCAAUUGCCAGGCAGAUGGCACGCCCACGCCGGAAAUACUCUGGUACAAGGAUGCCAAUCCCGUCGAUCCCUCGCCCACGGUGGGCAUCUUCAACGACGGCACCGAGCUGCGGAUCUCCACCAUUCGGCACGAGGACAUCGGAGAGUACACUUGCAUUGCACGCAAUGGUGAGGGACAAGUCUCCCAUACGGCCCGUGUUAUAAUCGCGGGCGGCGCUGUAAUCAUGGUGCCCCCGACCAACCAAACGAAGAACGAGGGCGAAAAAGUGAUAUUCUCCUGCGAGGCUAAGGCCAUGCCCGGGAAUGUCACGGUGCGCUGGUACCGCGAGGGGUCCCCCGUGCGGGAGGUGGCCUCCCUGGAGACCCGGGUCACCAUCCGAAAGGACGGCUCGCUCAUCAUCAACCCCAUCAAGCCGGACGACUCGGGCCAGUACCUCUGCGAGGUGACCAACGGCAUCGGCGAUCCGCAGAGCGCCUCCGCCUACCUCAGCGUCGAAUAUCCCGCCAAGGUCACCUUCACGCCCACGGUGCAGUACCUGCCGUUCCGGCUGGCCGGCGUGGUCCAGUGCUACAUCAAGUCGAGCCCCCAGCUGCAGUACGUCACCUGGACGAAGGACAAGCGCCUGCUGGAGCCCUACCAGAUGAAGGACAUCGUGGUGAUGGCCAACGGAUCGCUGCUGUUCACGCGGGUGAACGAGGAGCACCAGGGCCAGUACUCCUGCACGCCGUACAAUGCGUUGGGAACGGCCGGUGCCUCCGGGAUCAUGGACGUGCUGGUCAGGAAGCCACCCGCCUUCACGGUGGAGCCGGAGACGCUCUACCAGCGGAAGGUGGGCGACAGCGUGGAGAUGCACUGCGACGCCCUGGAGGCGGAGGGCACCGAGAGGCCCACCAUAAAGUGGCAGCGCCAAGAGGGCGAGCAGCUGGCCGAGUCGCAGCGCAACCGCAUCAAGAUCUCGGGGGGCAACAUCACCAUAGAGAACCUGCGGCGGGAGGACUUCGGCUACUACCAGUGUGUGGUGUCCAACGAGGUGGCCACCCUGAUGGCCGUGACCCAGCUGGUGAUCGAGGGCACCCAGCCCCAUGCCCCCUACAACAUCACCGGCAAGGCCACAGAGUCCUCGAUAACGCUGCAAUGGCUGCCGGGAUAUAGCGGGGGAUCGGAGUACAAGCAGGACUAUACCAUCUGGUUCCGGGAGGCGGGGGUCAACGACUGGCAGACCAUCUCCGUAACGCCCUCGGGCAGCACACAGGUGACCAUCAACGGUCUGGCCUCCGGAACCACCUACGAGUUCCAGGUGGUGGGCAGGAAUGUCCUCGGCGACGGGAUGAUGAGCAAAGUGAUGACCGUGCGCACCCUGGAAGACGCUCCGGCAGCGCCACGUAAUGUCAAGGCUGCAACACAACCGCCCGACUCAUUCUUUCAGCUAAUGCCAGACGAAGCUGGUCCCAAGCCAGGACCCCCGAGGAACGUUUCCGUGACGGAGGUGUCGAACGGGUUCCUCAUCACGUGGCAGUCGCCGCUGGAGCGGGCCCACAUCGUCAAGUUCUACACCAUCAAGUACCGGACGGACGCCCAGUGGAAGACCCUCAACCGGGGACAAAUCCGGCCGGAGGAGACCCAGUAUCUGGUGAAGAACCUGGUGGGCGGCAGGACCUACUACUUCCGGGUGCUGGCCAACUCGGAGAAGUCCUACGAGUCCAGCGACGAGGUGAAGUUCCCGGUGCCGGCACGUGUCAAGCACAAGGCGAUUACCGCCGGCGUCGUUGGGGGCAUCCUGUUUUUUAUUGUUGCGAUCAUUUUAUCGGUUUGUGCCGUAAAAAUUUGCAAUAAACGUAAACGACGAAAACAGGAAAAAGGUAACACUGAGGCUAAAGCUAACACACACACUUGAAAUGGUUUUUGAUGACAAUCACUAAAAAUGCUAAUGCUAAUGAUAAUGCUAACGAUAUAGAUGUACCGAUAACGUUAACGAUCGAUCGCAAACAGUAAUCGUAAUAAUCGAUGACGAUGUUCUUGUUGUUGGCGAACCCAAAACCAUUAUAAUUGUAAUUAUGACUAACCCCCAGCUAACUAACUGCCUAACGUACUAUUAAUUAAAUACAUUUCGAGUUUCCGACGGCGCAGGCCACCCAAUUAUCGAUAACUUGGAACUGAUUACCGAUAACCAUUACUUGCCGUGCUUUUAUGAGUUCAAGUUUUCCUCCUUUGGCAUUUGAGCUUAAAAUAUUGGUUUGUUCGACAACAACAGCACAUUGGAAUUUGCAUUUGAAACUGUCUGUUUGCUGAAAGUAAAAUAUUUGACAAAAUUUCUGAGCCGUCGAGGCGUUUGAUAUGAAAUUCUCCAUAAAUUAUGCCUGUCUGAGAUUUUGUAUGAUUUGUACUUUUUCGUUGUAGUUGUGCAAGUAAAAUUGAGUUACAAUUCGGCAAAAGUUGCUGAAAAAUCUCUGUAUAUAUAUUUACAUACUAAUUGGAUUUCGGUUUGCUUUUCCUUAUUUGGUUAUCCUUCUUUUUGGUUCAUGAUUUCGUUAGCCCUGAGUUCUGAUUUCUUCUUUUCUGGGCCCAAGAACCCCCUUGCCCCCUGCUCGUCCCCGCCCCUGGUCCACCCCAAUCCAUUUCCGUAGACAAAAGUGACUCCCAAAGAUCUAAGUUGAAAAUCGGCCAUCAGACCUCUGAAAUUAUCAGUUUUUGUUUGCAUUCCAUUACUUAAGCCUUCUGUUCGUAUCAUUGGGCCUACAUAUAAAUCUUUUUUUGUGUAAUCUCAAUCUGGCUUCAUAGCGCUUUGCAGCCUGUUUGUUUUCGAAUUCAACGCAUGAACAUAUUACUAGUUGUUGCCACUUUAGUUAAGCAAUCGAUUAAGCUCCAUUUGCGGGGGAACUCCUUUCGAAAGCAGUAUGAAAAACCCGGCCAAAGUUGAGCGGAAAUUGAAAUGCCAGGGCCAGAGGACCCAUACCAGAACCCCAACCAGGACUUCCAGGACAUCCAUUAUUUGACGCCCGCUGGCUUUAAUGCAAUCGAAUCAAAACCCGGACCGAAAACCGACCAUUUCGAACCUCUGUCUCUGCCUUUUGUUAUGGUUUUUGCUUUAAACUGUAUUUUAAGUGGAUUAAUUAAUGUUGCGUUGUUUAAAUCAAUUAUUUAUGUAUUCUUUCCGAGACCCCCCUCCCCCACACACUUACACGACACAGAAAAAAAAAUAACAAAGAGCAGGAAAAUUGCGAAUUUUUUAAAUCAAUGCAGCCCAUUAACUGCGAAAUAUGAUGUACAUACGUAUAUUCAAUACCGAACACAUUGUUCUACAAUUUUUUCCGUAACUCCUUUUUUUUGCUGUGGUAAGCACAUUACGAUAGAUUAACGUAAAACCGCUAAUGAUAUAAAUGUGACAAGCUGAUAACGCUGAUGAUGAUAGAAAUACCUUUAUCUCCGAACCAUUGACAAGCAUGUUCUUGGCCAAAUCGUCGUUGUUUCUGCCCAGGGCUGAGUUCAUGACAGAUAAAGGUAUUUGAAGAGACAUUUGCAGAGAGGAAACCACAUCUAUAUACAUGGCGAAUGACCAUUUAUAUAGCGCAAUACUGGGCAGACGUUUUUUGUAAACAAUUCACGCACAAAGAUGGUAAAAGAGGCCCCCAAACCAUGUCGAUAGAGCACUCGCAUCUAGAAAACAAAACCAAAACCGAGUCCAAAGCAUAAAAUGAUCGCGUCGUCAAUAGAUCCGUUAUGCCUGGGGUCCUCCGCCCCUGUCCGCCCAACCUCGGGGACUUCAAAUGGGUAUUACCAUACCCUACACCAUAUCUAUUAUAUCUUUUGAAGUCCUAGUUGGGCAGUCAAAGGGCGGAGCGACCGAGCAACGCAAAAUAUGAGUAAUGCUAUAGUAAGACCCCCUAAAACCCCAACAUCGAUGCAAGCAAGGGUAAGUUUUUGCAAUCAUUUUAAGUCGAUGUCGUGUGCCACAGAUCCUGAGUACUGACAACUAAAGGUUAUUUUCAGACGAGUUCCCACCACCCCACCAACCAGAACCAACCUAUCAAGAACCAACAACCAACUAACCAACACUGACAUCACCACAACCAUCGAUUAAGCAUCUGCAUUCCACUAACAGUCCGCAAUCCGUCGGUCACAAGUUGUCAGUGCCCCUCUUCUCGGGCAGAUCGCUCCGAUACUGCCGCAUAUAUUUCUCAAGCACCCCACACAUUCCACAGAUUUCAUAAUUACCCAAAAACCAAAACACAAGCACUGCCAAACGAAACAAAAACAAUACUUCUCAAACACUUUUCGUUUUUUGUGUGUGAAUCACAAGUUUUUGUCGCUUCUCCUCAGUUUUUGUGUUUUUGCAUCCCCCAUAAUCCCCAUAUAAUCAGCAAUAUUUGGUUCUCGAUUGCAUUAAACUUCAGUUCUUAUCUCUCAGUCUCUCUCUUUUCCGUUGGCACAAUUCGUAACUUGACCAUUUAAAAGCCAUUUCACGUGUCAUUGUUUUUUCCAACCAUUCGAAGCCAGAUCCUAAAUAAAAUACUGCGAAGAGCACACGGCUGUGUAUAUAUGCACUUCGGAGUGUAUAUGCUAUAUGGUAUAUAGCAGGUUUUCGCAUAUAGCCGUAUAUAUGUGGGUGUCCCCAAAUAGUUUGUCACCGAUAACCGUCAACUGGCCGGAGGAGCAUUAAGUUUCGAUUAUGUUGGCAUUGUUAUUCCUCGAACCCGUAGCCGCCGUUCAAUUACCCAAACUCCGAAUCACUAAUUGGCAUUGCUCCUUCUGCCCCCAACAUGUAAUUGCAACCCAAUCAACUGAAACUAAAACUGAAACCAACUAACAACAUAGUUUAGUCGUAGUCAUCUAACUGCUAACUGGUAAAUGGCAACUGUUAUCUGCUAACUGGCGACUGUUUAGUGUCCUUUAGUAAUAGCCUAGUUACUGCUAAAAUUUAAACAAUCUAAACUUAUUAGCGACGACAACUGAAACAACAUUAGUGUGUAAUCUGGCGAUGCUGGCAUGCAAAUUGGCAUAAUCAACGUGGGCAGGUGCACAGCGAGAAAGAUUCCGAUUAGAGUAAAUUGUAACAAUUUACAAUAAUGAUAUACCCUAAUUAAAGUUGGGAGUUUUUUAUAUCUCUUAAUAAGGUGCCUGAAAGUAUGCAACAUUUUUCAUUGCCUACUUUUAGACAGAUUUAUAAAAGAUAUCAAAAUCCCAGUGGUAUAAGCAUGAUAUAUCUCCAAUUUAAAAUCCAAAACCUAAGGACAACUAUUUAAAACACCUUUCUCUCUGUGCCAAUGACCUUAAUUUCAACCCGUUCUCGACCAAAAUCAACAAACAGCCGCGUUAUGCCAGCUUGUCCCUGAUUUAAGCAGAAUUUCGAAAGAGUGUAAUCGCAUUUAUAUACGUCUAUAUGUAGAGAGCACCGUAGUAGAUAUGCAUAUGCAUAGACAUAUAUCCGUGACCGUCGUGUGUGUAUAUAUAGAGUGUGUGUGCUUGGUAGCUAUACGUACGGUGUACGGGUAUUUUAUUUACCGGAUAGGACGGCUCACGCUGCACGCCAAAUUAAUUUUAGAAAUUAUACGUUUGCAGAGUUCAACAUGGUAGCUUGCAGGAUAACGGACGCUCGUAACAUUGCCGCCAAUAAUCAUCAUUUGCACAAUCGCAGUACGGGCUCAAUUUCCUCUGGUCAAGUGCCUUUAAAAAAUUCCAGGUCCAUCCUGU